UACGUAGGCAGCAAGCGUUGUUCGGAGUUACUGGGCGUAAAGAGUGCGUAGGCGGUGCCCUAAGUCUGUUGUGAAAUCUCCCGGCUCAACUGGGAGGGUGCGGUGGAAACUGGGGUGCUUGAGUGUGGGAGAGGUUAGCGGAAUUCCUGGUGUAGCGGUGAAAUGCGUAGAUAUCAGGAGGAACACCGGUGGUGUAGACGGCUAACUGGACCACGACUGACGCUGAGGCACGAAAGCGUGGGUAGCAAACAGG
rnacentral:rRNA from 1 species